rnacentral:rRNA from 1 species
AGUGAAUGCUGGCGGCGUGCUUAACACAUGCAAGUCGAACGAGAACGGAAUAUAGCUUGCUAUAUUUGUCAGCUAAGUGGCGUACGGGUGAGUAAUGUAUAGAUAACCUGCCCUUAAGAAAGGAAUAACAGUUGGAAACGACUGCUAAUGCCCUAUAUGCCUUUAAUACAUAAGUAUGCAAGGGAAACGCUUUAGUGCUUAAGGAUGGGUCUGUAUGGUAUCAGCUUGUUGGUGAGGUAAUGGCUCACCAAGGCUAUGACGCCUAACUGGUUUGAGAGGAUGAUCAGUCACACUGGAACUGAGACACGGUCCAGACUCCUACGGGAGGCAGCAGUGGGGAAUAUUGCACAAUGGACGAAAGUCUGAUGCAGCAACGCCGCGUGGAGGAUGACACAUUUCGGUGCGUAAACUCCUUUUAUAUAGGAAGAUAAUGACGGUACUAUAUGAAUAAGCACCGGCUAACUCCGUGCCAGCCGCCGCCGUAAUAC